rnacentral:rRNA from 1 species
GACGAACGCUGGCGGCGUGCUUAACACAUGCAAGUCGAACGGUGAUGCUCCAGCUUGCUGGAGUGGAUCAGUGGCGAACGGGUGAGUAACACGUGAGCAACCUGCCCCAGACUCUGGAAUAAGCGCUGGAAACGGCGUCUAAUACUGGAUACGAAACUGGCCCGCAUGGGCAUGGUUUGGAAAGUUUUUCGGUUUGGGAUGGGCUCGCGGCCUAUCAGCUUGUUGGUGAGGUAAUGGCUCACCAAGGCGACGACGGGUAGCCGGCCUGAGAGGGCGACCGGCCACACUGGGACUGAGACACGGCCCAGACUCCUACGGGGGGCAGCAGUGGGGAAUAUUGCACAAUGGGCGAAAGCCUGAUGCAGCGACGCCGCGUGAGGGAUGACGGCCUUCGGGUUGUAAACCUCUUUCAGCAGGGAAGAAGCGAAAGUGACGGUACCUGCAGAAGAAGCACCGGCUAACUACGUG